GGGAGCAGGGAGCGUGUGACAGGGACAGUGAAGAAACAGGCUUGGCUGGAGCCCAGGGUCCAAAUCAGGGAGCAGAAAGAAAACUACUUUCAAUGUCUCUCUUCCUUAUCAUCAGAACACAUCUAUCACAGAACACCUACAUGCACAAGAGGCCUGGCUGCCUGUGAGGUCAUAGAGGAGUGAGACGCACGGCUGUGCCUUCCAUGAGCUCAUGAGGUGGUUAAGAUGAUACACACACAUGCAAACAAGCACACCUAAGGCAGAGUGCCACAGGAAGGACAGAGAUCAUUCGUGUGCGAGUGGUGAUCCAGCCAGGGCUUCUUGAGAGGCUUCUUCACACCAUGCCAAGCACUGCAGAUGCAGAGUCAGACAAGGAAAGAUAACAGAGGGUCCUCAUCACAGCAACUUCUGUGCCCAUUGUCACCUGAAAAGGGGAGAGUGAUGAACCCCUGGGGCCCACAACAAAUCUAAGGCACUCCAUGAAUCUCAGGAUUGCUCAGCUGAAGUCUGGGCCAGCUAGGCCUGGUUGGCCAUCAGCUUAACUGCAGGAUGCACAAAAUGUAUCGUCAGGUGCCUCAGAAUAAGAAGCUAAGACGAGAGCAGAGGCUUACGGCAUGAGAUUGCAGAUCCCAAGGUCACUGGCAUCAUCUAAAGUGAAGAGCUCUGCUCAGACUCUGACUUCUGCUGUCAUCUAACACCCAGAAAUGGCCUCCAUGUGCACCCCUGGAACAUGCCUUCUUUCCAUUCAUCUGGGGGGGAAACUGAGGUUCUGCGAGAGGACGGAGCCCCAGCAAAGGCUGACAAUGCAGAAGUCAGUACUAGAUGCCAAGGAGUGCAUUCCGGGCAAGAAGGUUGUGAGAGAACAGCAAGGGGCCACAGAGAAGCUGAGAAGUCAUUCCACAGCCCCUGGUCACAGCCACCAGAGCAGCCUGAAGGUCCAUGUGGCCCAGCAGCUUCCAAGCUCCCGGCUUGGGGUGAGGCGAGUUUAGCCUGCUGCAGCCUCUUGCCCCCUUUCUCCCACCCUUCCAGGCCCUCUAGGGUCUGUUUCCCUGAAGCUUUGUC
rnacentral:lncRNA from 1 species